UCUUCUGUCCUCUCACUAGGUCGUGAUAAGAAUUAUCAGAGAUAAAGAAAGGUUGCUGAACACACAUAGUAUGCUGACAACUGGCCACAUGUCAUCUUCACAGCAUUGCAAAGAAGGGGCCAUUUUUCUUGCAGUUAUGGAGCCCUCUGGUGAAAAGGCAGAAGCCCCUUGCCCUGAGCCUAGGGAAGGCUGAGGGCUAGAAAGAAAAAGACC
rnacentral:lncRNA from 1 species